UACGUAGGUGGCAAGCGUUGUCCGGAUUUAUUGGGUUAAAGGGUGCGUAGGCGGCCCUGUAAGUCAGUGCUGAAAUAUCCCGGCUUAACCGGGAGGGUGGCAUUGAUACUGCGGGGCUAGAGUACAGAUGAGGUAGGCGGAAUUGACGGUGUAGCGGUGAAAUGCUUAGAUAUCGUCAAGAACACCUAUAGCGAAGGCAGCUUACUAGGCUGUAACUGACGCUGAGGCACGAAAGUGUGGGGAUCAAACAGG
rnacentral:rRNA from 1 species